AAGUAGAUCACAAUCUUUUUCUCAGCUCCUGGGAUUUGAAUCAACGGCUCCGAUUUACGGGUCUCCUUGAGAUUUGUUUCGGGUUGAGGGAGUAGGGUUUUGAGGGGUAAAUCGGGUCCGGGUCGUACUGAUAGAGCACGAAGAACAGCGCUAACACGGCGUACACGAUGGAAGAUAUUGGGUUUUUUGUUGGGAGUGGGUGAAUUGCAAUUUGAAUCGUCGGAGAAAAGG
rnacentral:misc_RNA from 1 species